GACGAACGCUGGCGGCGUGCUUAACACAUGCAAGUCGAACGGAAAGGCCCUGCUUUUGUGGGGUGCUCGAGUGGCGAACGGGUGAGUAACACGUGAGUAACCUGCCCUUGACUUUGGGAUAACUUCAGGAAACUGGGGCUAAUACCGGAUAGGAGCUCCUGCUGCAUGGUGGGGGUUGGAAAGUUUCGGCGGUUGGGGAUGGACUCGCGGCUUAUCAGCUUGUUGGUGGGGUAGUGGCUUACCAAGGCUUUGACGGGUAGCCGGCCUGAGAGGGUGACCGGCCACAUUGGGACUGGGAUACGGCCCAGACUCCUACGGGAGGCAGCAGUGGGGAAUAUUGCACAAUGGGCGGAGGCCUGAUGCAGCAACGCCGCGUGCGGGAUGACGGCCUUCGGGUUGGAAACCGCUUUCGCCUGUGACGAAGCGUGAGUGACGGUAAUGGGUAAAGAAGCACCGGCUAACUACGUG
rnacentral:rRNA from 1 species